AGUGGCAGACGGGUGAGUAACAUGUAGGUAUCUGCCCUUUGGCCUGGAAUAACACGAGGAAACUUGUGCUAAUACCGGAUAAGUCUUUACGGAGAAAGCUUUAUGCACCAUUGGAUGAGCCUGCACUUGAUUAGUUUGUUGGUGGGGUAAUGGCCUACCAAGACUGUGAUCAAUAGCUGAUUUGAGAGGAUAAUCAGCCACAUUGGGACUGAGACACGGCCCAAACUCCUACGGGAGGCAGCAGUGGGGAAUCUUGCACAAUGGAGGAAACUCUGAUGCAGCGAUGCCGCGUGAGUGAAGAAGGCCUUUGGGUUGUAAAGCUCUUUCGUCGGGGAAGAAAAUGACUGUACCCGAAUAAGAAGGUCCGGCUAACUUCGUGCCAGCAGCCGCGGUAAUACGAAGGGACCUAGCGUAGUUCGGAAUUACUGGGCUUAAAGAGUUCGUAGGUUGUUGAAAAAGUUAGUGGUGAAAUCCCAGAGCUUAACUCUGGAACUGCCAUUAAAACUUUUCAGCUAGAGUAUGAUAGAGGAAAGCAGAAUUUCUAGUGUAGAGGUGAAAUUCGUAGAUAUUAGAAAGAAUACCAAUUGCGAAGGCAGCUUUCUGGAUCAUUACUGACACUGAGGAACGAAAGCAUGGGUAGCGAAGAGGAUUAGAUACCCUCGUAGUCCAUGCCGUAAACGAUGUGUGUUAGACGUUGGAAAUUUAUUUUCAGUGUCGCACGGGAAACGCGAUAAACACACCGCCUGGGA
rnacentral:rRNA from 1 species